AACGAACGCUGGCGGCAGGCCUAACACAUGCAAGUCGAGCGAGGACUUCGGUUCUAGCGGCGGACGGGUGAGUAACGCGUGGGAAUGUGCCCUUCUCUACGGAAUAGCCCUGGGAAACUGGGAGUAAUACCGUAUACGCCCUAUUGGGGAAAGAUUUAUCGGAGAAGGAUCAGCCCGCGUUGGAUUAGGUAGUUGGUGGGGUAAUGGCCUACCAAGCCGACGAUCCAUAGCUGGUUUGAGAGGAUGAUCAGCCACACUGGGACUGAGACACGGCCCAGACUCCUACGAGAGGCAGCAGUGGGGAAUCUUAGACAAUGGGGGCAACCCUGAUCUAGCCAUGCCGCGUGAGUGAUGAAGGCCUUAGGGUUGUAAAGCUCUUUCAGCUGGGAAGAUAAUGACGGUACCAGCAGAAGAAGCCCCGGCUAACUCCGUG
rnacentral:rRNA from 1 species